GAUGAAGAACGCAGCGAAAUGCGAUAAGUAAUGUGAAUUGCAGAAUUCAGUGAAUCAUCGAAUCUUUGAACGCACAUUGCGCCCCUUGGUAUUCCGAGGGGCAUGCCUGUUCGAGCGUCAUUAUAACCCCUCAAGCUCAGCUUGAUGUUGGGGCCUGCUGCACUGGCAGCCCUUAAAAUCAGUGGCGGCGCCAUCUGGCUCUAAGCGUAGUAAUUCUUCUCGCUAUGGAGUCCUGGUGGAUGCUUGCCAUCAACCCCCAAUUUUUCUAUGGUUGACCUCGGAUCAGGUAGGGAUACCCGCUGAACUUAAGCAUAUCAAUAAGCGGAGGA
rnacentral:misc_RNA from 1 species